ACCCUCAAUUACCUCCCUUUUCACACUAAGAAUUAACUAUAUGCUAAUUAGGUUUCUUCUGAUCUGAAGCAAGUUUGCUGUUUCUUUAAACAAAGAACAUUCGCUUUGGUUCAAAAAAAAAACUGAUGGUUUUUGUACUGCAACUCCUAGCAUGGUGUGGGCCUUGGACAAGUUAAUAGUGAACAGAUAUGGUAGCAGAAAGUAUACAUCGACACAUGCUAACUCUAUUGGAUCGAAAUUCCUACUGCUCACAUGUACCAGUUUGAACUCCCUGACGAAUAUCUAAAGCCAUGGUUAUACCAUUAUGUCAGGGUAUAACACCCUCUUCCCCGGGGGGGCGCUGUGUAAGGUUCUUGGAGGUUGAACUGGCACUCAUGGGCACCCCUGCGAGUGAAGUUCUUCGUUUGGCUUGCUUGCCAAGCCCGCUGUUGGACUGCCAAAAGCCUUGUGAGCUGGGGCUUGCAGCACCACCCGCGUUAGCUGUUCUGUGACCAGGCUGUGGAGUCCAUGACUCACAUACUCACAGUUUUUCCCUUCUCACGGACCUUGUGCCACAAGGUCCUAUCCGUAUCAGAUCAAACCCCCACUGACGCGAUGCCUGCGAGGACUUCGUUUACUGCUGGCAGCGGACCUGCGCAAGGGCACGUCCUCGGUGAUUAUGCAACGCAGCCUAGCAUCACCACUUUGCUCGACACGAUCAAGUCCGAGGCUCGAUCGUGGGCGAAGGCGGGGGUGGCGUGCCUGGCCACACUUCUCCCAGCAGUGUCUUCUUAGCCGUGUUGCGUUUUUGUUCUUUGAGGUGUUGCCCCGUCACUGUACUUGUAAGUUGUAACGAACAAUUCUCUCUUUCUAUCAAUUCAUCAAGAAGCAAGCUUUUGCGUUUUCUCCCGAAAAAAGGUUAUACCAUUGUAAAUUUGUAGUCAAUAAAUUUCACUCUAUCAACCAAGGGUGGAUCUUCAUGAGGACGAAGUUGGGCCAUGGCCUUCCCAUUUUAAUUGCUUUUUUAAGACACCAACUAGCCAGUAAGCAGGAAAAGAUGCUGAUUAUUGUUGUAUUGCUGCAGUAUUCUGGACCAUUCGGAAAUACGAAAUGAAGCAUGUUUUGACAACAAGUGGCUAGGAACAGAAUUCCGAGCAGCGACCAGGUUCUCAAAAGACACGGGCCAGGGGAUGGGACGUGCGUGUGGUGCAGAUAAGACGAGAAUUGUGACCACAUUCUCUUUCGGUGUAUUGUGGCCAAAUUCAUUUGGAGUGUUAUGCGGGAUGCCACGGGGUGUUCUAGGAGCCCAGCGGGCUUUGCCAAUCUUCGUCAAUUGAUCCAGGGAACACAUGGGAAGGAUAGGAAAAUGGCGUGCUAUGGAGAGUUGAAGACCGUUCGGGAGACAAGAGGACCGAUGGCAGCAUGAUCGGCUCAUCAGCAGCCUCCUUGCAAGAAGUCAAGUGCUACGUGCUGCCUCAAGACGGGACACUACUGGCUAGAGGAGCCAUCCGUGCUUAGGCAGUACUCGUAGCGAGGCUCGUCCGGCACGACACCUCUUAGUAUCGUUCAUUUGCCAGCAUGGCAUUUCCUUUCUGUUCACUAGCGUUGCAUCACUGUGUCUGGUCAUUUGUGAAUUUAUGACCCUGUAUCGAACUCCCUUUAUUUUCUGCUACCUUGUUGUUAACUGUAAGGGCCUCGGUUUAAGGCCAGGCAUAUGCCUCCAUUCUAGAAAAAACUCAUGCUGCUUAAGAUCCUUGUUGCUGUGCAUUCCAACAAGAGAAGAUCAGCUACACUUC